rnacentral:rRNA from 1 species
GUUUGAUCCUGGCUCAGGAUGAACGCUGGCGGCGUGCCUAAUACAUGCAAGUCGAGCGAACGGAUGAGAAGCUUGCUUCUCUGAUGUUAGCGGCGGACGGGUGAGUAACACGUGGAUAACCUACCUAUAAGACUGGGAUAACUUCGGGAAACCGGAGCUAAUACCGGAUAAUAUUUUGAACCGCAUGGUUCAAAAGUGAAAGACGGUCUUGCUGUCACUUAUAGAUGGAUCCGCGCUGCAUUAGCUAGUUGGUAAGGUAACGGCUUACCAAGGCAACGAUGCAUAGCCGACCUGAGAGGGUGAUCGGCCACACUGGAACUGAGACACGGUCCAGACUCCUACGGGAGGCAGCAGUAGGGAAUCUUCCGCAAUGGGCGAAAGCCUGACGGAGCAACGCCGCGUGAGUGAUGAAGGUCUUCGGAUCGUAAAACUCUGUUAUUAGGGAAGAACAUAUGUGUAAGUAACUGUGCACAUCUUGACGGUACCUAAUCAGAAAGCCACGGCUAACUACGUGCCAGCAGCCGCGGUAAUACGUAGGUGGCAAGCGUUAUCCGGAAUUAUUGGGCGUAAAGCGCGCGUAGGCGGUUUUUUAAGUCUGAUGUGAAAGCCCACGGCUCAACCGUGGAGGGUCAUUGGAAACUGGAAAACUUGAGUGCAGAAGAGGAAAGUGGAAUUCCAUGUGUAGCGGUGAAAUGCGCAGAGAUAUGGAGGAACACCAGUGGCGAAGGCGACUUUCUGGUCUGUAACUGACGCUGAUGUGCGAAAGCGUGGGGAUCAAACAGGAUUAGAUACCCUGGUAGUCCACGCCGUAAACGAUGAGUGCUAAGUGUUAGGGGGUUUCCGCCCCUUAGUGCUGCAGCUAACGCAUUAAGCACUCCGCCUGGGGAGUACGACCGCAAGGUUGAAACUCAAAGGAAUUGACGGGGACCCGCACAAGCGGUGGAGCAUGUGGUUUAAUUCGAAGCAACGCGAAGAACCUUACCAAAUCUUGACAUCCUUUGACAACUCUAGAGAUAGAGCCUUCCCCUUCGGGGGACAAAGUGACAGGUGGUGCAUGGUUGUCGUCAGCUCGUGUCGUGAGAUGUUGGGUUAAGUCCCGCAACGAGCG